CCUACGGGAGGCAGCAGUGAGGAAUAUUGGUCAAUGGGCUGACGCCUGAACCAGCCAAGUCGCGUGAGGGAAGACUGCCCUAUGGGUUGUAAACCUCUUUUGUCAGGGAGCAACGCCGGCUACGUGUAGCCGGACUGAGAGUACCUGAAGAAAAAGCAUCGGCUAACUCCGUGCCAGCAGCCGCGGUAAUACGGAGGAUGCGAGCGUUAUCCGGAUUGAUUGGGUUUAAAGUGUGCGUAGGCGGAAUGCCAAGUCAGCGGUAAAAUCGCGGGGCUCAACCUCGCUCCGCCGUUGAAACUGGCGUUCUUGAGUGGGCGAGAAGUAUGCGGAAUGCGUGGUGUAGCGGUGAAAUGCAUAGAUAUCACGCAGAACUCCGAUUGCGAAGGCAGCAUACCGGCGCCCAACUGACGCUGAAGCACGAAAGCGUGGGUAUCGAACAGGAUUAGAUACCCCGGUAGUC
rnacentral:rRNA from 1 species